UGGGGAAUAUUGGACAAUGGGCGAAAGCCUGAUCCAGCCAUGCCGCGUGUGUGAAGAAGGCCUUUUGGUUGUAAAGCACUUUAAGUGGGGAGGAAAAGCUUAUGGUUAAUACCCAUAAGCCCUGACGUUACCCACAGAAUAAGCACCGGCUAACUCUGUGCCAGCAGCCGCGGUAAUACAGAGGGUGCAAGCGUUAAUCGGAAUUACUGGGCGUAAAGCGCGCGUAGGUGGUUAUUUAAGUCAGAUGUGAAAGCCCCGGGCUUAACCUGGGAACUGCAUCUGAUACUGGAUAACUAGAGUAGGUGAGAGGGGAGUAGAAUUCCAGGUGUAGCGGUGAAAUGCGUAGAGAUCUGGAGGAAUACCGAUGGCGAAGGCAGCUCCCUGGCAUCAUACUGACACUGAGGUGCGAAAGCGUGGGUAGCAAACAGGAUUAGAUACCCUGGUAGUCCACGCCGUAAACGAUGCCUACCAGUCGUUGGGUCUUUUAAAGACUUAGUGACGCAGUUAACGCAAUAAGUAGACCGCCUGGGGAGUACGGCCGCAAGGUUA
rnacentral:rRNA from 1 species